rnacentral:rRNA from 1 species
GAUUUCUGGUAUGGCGCGCUUGGCCCGCCGAGGUUACUCGGUUGUGUGCCGGUGUGCGCCUGCCAUCCUUCUGGGGAACGGCUACGCCCUUUACUGGGAUGCAGUCGGUAUCCAGAUCUUUUACUUUGAAAAAAUUAGAGUGUUUAAAGCAGGCUUACGCUAUGAAUACAUUAGCAUGGAAUAAUAAUUUAGGACUUUGGUCUUAUUUUGUUGGUUUCUAGGACUAAAGUAAUGAUUGAUAGGGAUAGUUGGGGGUGCUAGUAUUCAGCGGCCAGAGGUGAAAUUCUUGGAUUCGCUGAAGACUAACUUAUGCGAAAGCAUU